CAGCCGCGGUAAUACGUAGGGGGCUAGCGUUGUCCGGAAUCAUUGGGCGUAAAGAGCGUGUAGGCGGCUUGGUAAGUCCGCUGUGAAAGUCCAGGGCUCAACCCUGGAAUGCCAGUGGAAACUGUCAAGCUAGAGUCCGGAAGAGGCGAGUGGAACUCCUGGUGUAGCGGUGAAAUGCGCAGAUAUCAGGAAGAACACCAAUGGCGAAGGCAGCUCGCUGGGACGGUACUGACGCUGAGACGCGAAAGCGUGGGGAGCAAACAGGAUUAGAUACCCUGGUAGUCCACGCCGUAAACGAUGGGCACUAGGUGUGGGGGGUGUCGACUCCCCCCGUGCCGACGCUAACGCAUUAA
rnacentral:rRNA from 1 species